GACGUAGGGCGCGAGCGUUGUCCGGAUUUAUUGGGCGUAAAGAGCUCGUAGGCGGCUUGUCGCGUCGACUGUGAAAUCCCGCGGCUCAACGUGCGGGUCUGCAGUCGAUACGGGCAGGCUAGAGUUCGGUAGGGGAGACUGGAAUUCCUGGUGUAGCGGUGAAAUGCGCAGAUAGUCAGGAGGAACACCGAUGGCGAAGGCAGGUCUCUGGGCCGAUACUGACGCUGAGGAGCGAAAGCGUGGGGAGCGAACAGG
rnacentral:rRNA from 1 species